rnacentral:rRNA from 1 species
UACAGAGGUGGCAAGCGUUGUUCGGAAUUACUGGGCGUAAAGGGCGCGUAGGCGGCCCGUCAAGUCGCGUGUGAAAGCCCCCGGCUCAACUGGGGAGGGUCACGCGAUACUGAUCGACUCGAAGGCAGGAGAGGGUAGUGGAAUUCCCGGUGUAGUGGUGAAAUGCGUAGAUAUCGGGAGGAACACCAGUGGCGAAGGCGACUACCUGGCCUGUUCUUGACGCUGAGGCGCGAAAGCUAGGGGAGCAAACGGG